CUGACUGCUAUCGGAUUGAUACUAAGCCAUGCGAGUCUUUGCAGUAAUGCAAGGCAUACGGCUCAGUAACACGUAGUCAACCUACCCUACGGACGAGAAUAAUCUCGGGAAACUGAGCAUAAUUCUUGAUAGAUCAUAAUGCCUGGAAUGGUUUAUGGUUAAAAUGAUUCGUCGCCAUAGGAUGGGACUGCGGCCUAUCAGCUUGUUGGUGAGGUAAUGGCCCACCAAGGCGAUUACAGGUACGGGCUCUGAGAGGAGAAGCCCGGAGAUGGGUACUGAGACACGGACCCAGGCCCUAUGGGGCGCAGCAGGCGAGAAAACUUUGCAAUGUGCGAAAGCACGACAAGGUUAAUCCGAGUGAUUUCUGCUAAAGAAAUCUUUUACCAGUCAUAAAACCACUGGUGAAUAAGGGGUGGGCAAGUUCUGGUGUCAGCCGCCGCGGUAAAACCAGCACCUCAAGUGGUCAGGAUGAUUAUUGGGCCUAAAGCAUCCGUAGCCUGCUCUGUAAGUUUUCGGUUAAAUCUGUAUGCUCAACAUACAGGCCGCCGGGAAUACUGCAGAGCUAGGGAGUGGGAGAGGUAGACGGUACUCGGGAGGAAGUGGUAAAAUGCUUUGAUCUCUCGAUGACCACCUGUGGCGAAGGCGGUCUACCAGAACACGUCCGACGGUGAGGGAUGAAAGCUGGGGGAGCAAACCGGAUUAGAUACCCGGGUAGUCCCAGCUGUAAACUAUGCAAACUCAGUGAUGCAUUGGCUUGUGGCCAAUGCAGUGUUGCAGGGAAGCCGUUAAGUUUGCCGCCUGGGAAGUACGUACGCAAGUAUGAAACUUAAAGGAUUGGCGGGGAGCACCACAAGGGGUGAAGCCUGCGGUUCA
rnacentral:rRNA from 1 species